GAUGAACGCUGGCGGCGUGCCUAAUACAUGCAAGUCGAGCGAACAGACGAGGAGCUUGCUCCUCUGACGUUAGCGGCGGACGGGUGAGUAACACGUGGAUAACCUACCUAUAAGACUGGGAUAACUUCGGGAAACCGGAGCUAAUACCGGAUAAUAUAUUGAACCGCAUGGUUCAAUAGUGAAAGACGGUUUUGCUGUCACUUAUAGAUGGAUCCGCGCCGCAUUAGCUAGUUGGUAAGGUAACGGCUUACCAAGGCAACGAUGCGUAGCCGACCUGAGAGGGAGCCGCACCACACGGAGACGGAGACACGUCCCACCCUCUAGCGGGAGGCAGCGGGGGGGACUCCUCCGCAAUGGACAAAACCCGGAGGGAGCACCCCGGGGUGAGACAUAAAGGUGUUCGGAUCAAAAAACUCUUUUAUUGGAAAAAAAAAAAUGUGAAAAUACCUAUGCACGUCUUGAGGUCACCUAAUCGAAAGCCCAGGACAAACUAGGAC
rnacentral:rRNA from 1 species